rnacentral:ncRNA from 1 species
UCUAAAGCAACGACCGGGACGAGUAAUUCAUCAGUCAUUCUAAGAGAGUUUACGUUAGCUGAAAGUAGACAAUGACAAUGAACGAAACACACCUGGGAGUGUGUUGGUGAAUAUCAGUAGCCAGCGCCGGAUUAAUCCCCGUUACCAGACAAGGCGUUCUUAACAAACGCCGUGAGCUUUCAUCAGUGAUGGUGAAAGAAUGAUGAGGUGGGACCGCGUGCAACGCCCUCUAA